AAUAUCGACCAAAUUGACCAACUAUCAAAGGCUAUAGAGAAUCUUCUCCUUUUCUCUACGCUUUAAUAAUUAUUUUCGGAUUCAAUCCUUUCAUAUCAUAUCAUGAAAGGUGAGCCGCUGUUUUCAGAGAUGAGUUGGAGAGAAGCACUUCCAGAGGCUCCUGCUCUUGCAGGAUCUAUAGUUCUAUAUUCCAGGAAUGAGAGUGAGGAAGUUAAGGAUAUUAUUGAAAAUGCUACACAUUUGCUUGACAUGAUAGACUUGUACGUUGCUGAUAAUCCUCUUGGAGUCAGAUCUCAAAAACGAGAUAUGAUUCAACGGUUAAACAUCCAACAAUCAAAUGAUAUUAUGUUACUAGGGUUGUGGGGCAUGGGCGGAAUUGGUAAAACCACAAUCGCGAAAGCGGUUUACAAUAAACAGAUGAAAGUGAAUGAAGUGAGCUUUUUAGUUGGCAUGCAUUCAAACAAGUGAUCCCUCAAGAAGAUUUACGACAUUUUCACUGACAUAACUUGUUUCUUUAUUGGGAUGAACAAAAAUGUCACUAACAAACUUGGAAUGCAUGACCUGAAAAAGAAAUUUUCAUUGACAUGAUUUUUUUCUUUAUUGGGACGGAAAAUAAUCUUUAUUGGGAUGAACUUGGUUUGCUCAUGGAUUUCUGUCCCUCAGUUACGUUAUCCAACCUGGCUUCUAUAGCAUCUUGUCUUAUCUUUUGAGCUCUCAUUUCUUCUAGCAACUGUAACACAUAAGCAGGAGGUUCUGAUUGUAUCUGCAGACAAGGAGCUUCCAGUAUCAUUCUCAACAUUGAUUUUCUCAGCUUCCUUUCUGUUUAGAAUCUCUUCCUGCCUUAAUCUUUCAAUCUUUUCUUCUGCAAUCCUUUUAGCUUCCUCCAUAGCAAACCAUUCUGCUUUACAUCUUUCAAAAUUGGCCUCUAUAGCUAACCGUUCUGCUUCACAUCUUUCAAAAUUGUCAGCUAAUUCUGGUAGUAUAACAUAAAUGUUUUCUUACUGAGGUUUUGUUGCACAAUUUAUUGAGUUUGAGAUAGGAACAAACUUGCGAGAUAUGGGAACAACCUUUUGGUGAUUUCUCUCAUGUCCUAAAUUCAUUCUCCAUUCCAGAUGAAACUAUGAACAUUUCAUCCUCUUCAAAACAAAUUGAUGCUUAACCUUUAGCUGAAGCCACAAAAAACAGUUUCUUUAACCACUGUUGAACAACUAGUACCGACAGAUUGUCCCAGGCUGUCUUAGGUUCCUCGUAGCAUUUAAUAUCUCAAAAAAUAGUUUCGAUAAAUUUGGAAGACUGUAUUAGCCUUUGUAACCUUCCGAUAAGCAUCUAUAAAUUUACAAAUAUCAAAUAUUACUAUUCCUACAUUAAUUCAAUGUUGUAGUCAAGUCCACGUUUCUGGAUCAAUGCAUUCCUUGAAGUCUCUUAUGGGAAUAAAUUGCCGAGUCACCAUAUUCUAGAAGAAAAAAAAUUACAGAAUAUGGAUGUCAACGGGUUUGGUGGUUGUCCUCUGAUGAUGGUUAUCCAGAUUGGUUAACCUUUAGUUCCUAAGGUUCUUAUGUAACUUUUGAAGUCCCUCGAGUGGUGGAGCGUAACUUGAAGGCAAUGAUGUGUACUGUCUAUACUUCAAUCCCAAAUAACAUAACAUUAGAUGGCCUUAAAAACAUGUUAGUGAAAAUUACACAAAAGCUACCAUUUAACUUUUUAAUAGAGGCAUUAAUCUCCUUAGAAGAUGAGGAGGAGACGAGAGUAGUAUCAAGUAUAGAAUCCGGCAACAAAGUAGAAGUUGCUGUUUUUGAGAAUGUUUUUAUCGCGAAGAAGAUAGCAGUUUAUCUUGUAUAUGAUAAUGAACACGUUGGCAACAGGAUCUCUACUCAAGAGGAGCAAAGCGACUACUUCAAUCGGAACAGAAAGAUGAAAAAUCGAGUGGAGUGAAUCAAUGAAAGAGCAGAAAAUUCUGAUACCAGAUCUGAGGUAAGAAGUCAACAGUGUUAGCAGUGAAAGCUUCAUGUCUGGUGUCCAUUCAAUUCAAAGUUGGAGCUUUUCUGUUUUUUCGUGAAGCGCACCAUAUCUUCUUCCAUUCAACCAAUGCUAGUAAGGGUUCAUUGACAACUUAUAUAUCAAUUAGUUAUAGAUAAAUGGAAGUUAUAUUGUAAUACAAAAUAUGUAUCAAGGUUAUUGGAAGUAUAAAGUAUUAGAGUAACUAA